rnacentral:rRNA from 1 species
AUUGAACGCUGGCGGCAGGCCUAACACAUGCAAGUCGAGCGGCAGCGGGAAAGUAGCUUGCUACUUUUGCCGGCGAGCGGCGGACGGGUGAGUAAUGCCUGGGAAAUUGCCCAGUCGAGGGGGAUAACAGUUGGAAACGGCUGCUAAUACCGCAUACGCCCUACGGGGGAAAGCAGGGGACCUUCGGGCCUUGCGCGAUUGGAUAUGCCCAGGUGGGAUUAGCUAGUUGGUGAGGUAAUGGCUCACCAAGGCGACGAUCCCUAGCUGGUCUGGGAGGAGGAUCAGCCACACUGGAACUGAGACACGGUCCAGACUCCUACGGGAGGCAGCAGUGGGGAAUAUUGCACAAUGGGGGAAACCCUGAUGCAGCCAUGCCGCGUGUGUGAAGAAGGCCUUCGGGUUGUAAAGCACUUUCAGCGAGGAGGAAAGGUUGAUGCCUAAUACGUAUCAACUGUGACGUUACUCGCAGAAGAAGCACCGGCUAACUCCGUGCCAGCAGCCGCCGUAA